UUGGGCCUAAAGCGUCCGUAGCUGGCCAGUCAAGUUCGUUGGGAAAUCGGCGUGCCUAACACGUCGGCGUCCAGCGAAAACUGACUGGCUUGGAGCCGGAAGACCCGAGGGGUACGUCCGGGGUAGGAGUGAAAUCCCGUAAUCCUGGACGGACCACCGGUGGCGAAAGCGCCUCGGGAAAACGGACUCGACAGUGAGGGACGAAAGCUGGGGUCUCGAACCGGAUUAGAUACCCGGGUAGUCCCAGCCGUAAACAAUGCUCGCUAGGUGUGCCGCAGGCUACGAGCCUGCGCUGUGCCGUAGGGAAGCCGUGAAGCGAGCCGCCUGGGAAGUACGUCUGCAAGGAUGAAACUUAAAGGAAUUGGCGGGGGAGCACUACAACCGGAGGAGCCUGCGGUUUAAUUGGACUCAACGCCGGACAUCUCACCAGCACCGACAAUGUGCAGUGAAGGUCAGUUUGAUGCGCUUACUGGAGCCAUUGAGAGGAGGUGCAUGGCCGCCGUCAGCUCGUACCGUGAGGCGUCCUGUUAAGUCAGGCAACGAGCGAGACCCGCACUCUUAGUUGCCAGCAGCAUCUUGCGAUGGCUGGGUACACUAGGAGGACUGCCGCUGCUAAAGCGGAGGAAGGAACGGGCAACGGUAGGUCAGUAUGCCCCGAAUGUGCUGGGCAACACGCGGGCUACAAUGGCCGAGACAGUGGGAAGCCAUUCCGAGAGGAAGCGCUAAUCCCCUAAACUCGGUCGUAGUUCGGAUUGAGGGCUGAAACUCGCCCUCAUGAAGCUGGAUUCGGUAGUAAUCGCGUGUCAUAAGCG
rnacentral:rRNA from 1 species